AUGCUUUCGUUCGGCAUGCCUCUGCCUCACAGCUCGAUGUUUUUCGACGGUGUUUCGUAUAUUGAUCCUAUCUCGCACAUGCGCCGUUCCUCGGUGCUUGGUGCUUGUCCACUUGGAGGCGGUGAUUGUCACUCUACUUCGACAUCUGUUGCGACUUUUACCAGUGCUGAUGGCCGCUCUACAUCGACUCCUCUCGCGGCUUCCGCGCGCGGUGGUGACCGCUCUACAUCGACUCCUCUCGCGGCUUUCGAGUGUGGCGGUGACCGCUCUACGUUGACUCCUCUCGCGGCUUCCGCGCGUGGCGGCGACCGCUCUACAUCAACUCCUCACGUGGCUUUCGCGCGCGGCGGUGACUUCUCUACGCCAACUCCUCUCACUGCUUGCGCCCGCGGCGAUGACCGCUCUGGGUCAACUUUCCUGGUGGCUUCCACAUGCGGCUCUACGUCGACCUCUUCUGCCGUGUCCCUAUCUCUUCGUGAGAUUGCGCAGCUGCGACGCCUGUUUGCUGCUUGA
rnacentral:rRNA from 1 species